GAUGAACGCUGGCGGCGUGCUUAACACAUGCAAGUCGAACGGAAAGGCCCAAGCUGGCUGGGGUACUCGAGUGGCGAAGGGGUGAGGAACACGUGGGUGAUCGGCCCUGCACUUCGGGAUGAGCCUGGGAAACUGGGUCUAAUACAGUAUAGGACGAGGGUUUGGAUGCCAUUGUGGAAAGUUUUUUCGGUGUGGGAUGAGCUCGCGGCCUAGCAGCUUGUUGGUGGGGUAAUGGCCUAGCAAGGCGUCGACGGGGAGCCGGCCUGAGAGGGUGUACGGCCACAUUAGGCCUGAGAUACGGCCCAGACUCCUACGGGUGGGAGCAGUGGGGAAUAUUGCACCCUGGGCGACAGCCUGAUGCAGCGAGGCCGCGUGGGGGAUGACGGCCUUCGGGUUGUAAACUCCUUUCGCUAGGGACGCCGCGCUUUUGUGACGGUACCUGGAGAAGAAGCACCGGCUAACUACGUG
rnacentral:rRNA from 1 species